rnacentral:rRNA from 1 species
GACGUAGGGCGCGAGCGUUGUCCGGAUUUAUUGGGCGUAAAGAGCUCGUAGGCGGCUUGUCGCGUCGAAUGUGAAAACCCACAGCUCAACUGCGGGCUUGCAUUCGAUACGGGCAGGCUAGAGUUCGGUAGGGGAGACUGGAAUUCCUGGUGUAGCGGUGAAAUGCGCAGAUAUCAGGAGGAACACCGGUGGCGAAGGCGGGUCUCUGGGCCGAUACUGACGCUGAGGAGCGAAAGCGUGGGGAGCGAACAGG